UGGGGACAGUAACAGGGUCCACUUACCACUCUGGCGCCUCCUCAGCCUGCCUUUGGAAUUAUUUCUGUGGUUGAGUAUGCCCCCUUCAGGUGGUGCAUCACCACCAUGAUCUCCACAUCUCUCCAAGGACCACAGCAUCCUUUUCAGUGACAUAGCACUUCAGCCGUGCCAACAGGGGACCUGCAGUCUGCUGUUCAGCCACUUCGCACCAGUGACAAACUGCAGCCCACAGUCUAGACCAGGGGUGUAACCCAACAUUAUCUGUACGUCCCAAGAUGUAUUUCAUCAACAAGAUAGCUGAAACAAUAGGAGCCACUUCCCAAAACAGAGGCUGCAUGCCAGGCUGGAGCCGGAGGUGAGCUAUGAGGUCUGAAUGCAAAUACAGAGUGGUGGCUAUUAUUCACUGGAUGUGAGAGAGAGAAGCAGCAGAAACUGCACAGAGCAUUCAGAGAAAGCAGUAAGGAAGCCCAGUAACCCACCAGAGAAUCACUUGUAGCAUGACCCUGAAAAAAAGCUCAGAGUGAUCUUUUGGAUAGAGUGCUGGCUGGAAAAAAAGUC